AACCCCAUCAGACCCUUUUACUGGACUUAUGGUGUAUAAACAUAGAGCUUUUCUUAAUCUUACUCUCUCUGUAACACUGGACAUGUUAUUAAUCCUGUGUUCUCCACUAAUGAGUACAGUCUCAUAUCUGCAGCUAUAAACUUCAGAUUUAUUUAUUGGAGUAAAUGAGUGAUGAAAUUCUGCCUGAAUGCAGCAGAGAUGUGUGUGUUGUUUACACUGUAAUGUGCUGAAUCUGUCCAUCAUUUACUGAUCAUCAGCAUCGUAACUUACCAUGAAGCUGAAAUGCUCCUAAACACCAGACUUUAUUCAUUACUGCUGUUUAAACUAAUAUGUUAGUGUACAGGUGUCUUAGUUCAUGAAAACAGGAAGUCUGAGAAUUGUAUAAAAUAGAUGUUUACUUUCUUUUGCAGUUACACAACACUGAAUUUAGAUAUUCAGAUGUUUUAUAUUAAGAGCACUGAGCUGAACAUUAUUACAAGUUUACACUCUUUUCUGGGCUUUAACAUGUGUUCAGUUGUGUUUUGUUAACGUUGGUCACUUGUGUGUUACAUGUUCUGUCUCAGAGAGAACUGUUUGUUUGAUUUAAGUAAUUUUUGUAAUUGUUGUUGUUCUGUUGGUUUUAUUAAAUUGUUGUGUACUUCACAGCUUCCAUAUCUUACAGACAAGUGAUUAAAUCCAGAUCUGGUGACUCGAACAGGAAGAUGCAGUUAUGAUGGAAUACUGAAAUAAUGUCCUUCAUCAUCACAAGAACUUUAUCCUGACCAUCGUUCUGCUGGAUGAGAAGACUUUUAUAUCAUGAACACUGAGUGUGCAGAAUCUAAUUUAAUCUGUGUGACCAACACAAGAAUCUCCUGACAGCCGAGAAAACAGUUCCACAAUGAUGGAUUUCCUCGUUUUAACUCUGUUCUGACUGGUAACUUCUCUAUAUUCAUCCUUCAUCUAUUCAUUUCAGCUCUAACACUCAGGACAGUAGAUUAAAGUCACUAAUAAACUAAUGAGUUAUAAGAAUAAAUGUGAGAAUAUAAAAUGAGAUUUCAGAAGCUUAUUGAACACCAGAACAGAACAGGAGACAGGAUGUAGAGUCUCGUGGCUGACGAAGUUAAACCGGAAAACAGCAGAAACACAAGACUUUUUAUUCCACUAAGUGUCUGUUCACAUGUUCAGUGGAGGAUGUGUGUUAGACAUGGCAGAGUUCCUGAGUGGGUUUAAUCUACAGCUGAUGAUUGGUUUACAGAGUGCUGAUGAAUCUUCUCUCUUCAUGUGGUGUUGAUCUUUCAGGUGUCAUCAGUCUGAGUCUCCUUCAGAACAUUUCAGCUGAUCUGUUAUGUGUUGAUCCUGGAGAAAACGUCACUCUGUUCUGUAACAUCACUAAUUAUUCAGAGAUAUCGUGGUAUCACAUGAACUCAGCAGACGUGAGGCAGAUUAUAUCGACCUCACAAGGGAAUGUGGACAAACACUUUUAUAUUGUAUAUAAUGAGGAUAAGAGUCACUUUACUAUAACAGAAAGCAGCAGUUCAGUCAGUUUAGUGAUUAUUGGAGUUAGAGACACAGAUCUGGGAUUUUAUUACUGUGGAGGUCGAAACAAGGAACACAAUCAGUUUGGGAAAGUCAUCAGUCUGAACUUUACAGGUGGCAGCAGAAAUGAGACUCGUUCUUCAUCAGAGGAUUCAGACUCACACCAGACUGGAGGAACUGAGAACAUCUGGAUUAUACAUAUGAUCAUAAUGUGUGUGUGCUCCAUCUCUGUCCUAAUAAACAUCAUCUGCAUGUGUGUGUUCUGCAGCAGGGUGGAAGGAAAAUUAUCAUCAUCAUUAUCAUCAUGCUGCAGUCACGACACCAGCUCUACUGAACAGGAUGAAAAGAUUCAUCAUGACAGUUUGCUGUAUGACAGAAAGUUCACAGGAUCUGUUAAGAACAACAAAGCUUCAGAUUUGGACUGUGUGACUUACGUAACCUUCACCUCACAGCCACAGAUACACUGACCUACAGUCAGGACUGAUAUGAUGAAAAUCCCUGGAGAUCCAUCCUCAUGUCAUGAUCUUGAGAUUAAUCUGGAGAACUCUCAGAUCACAUGGACUCAUGUACUAGAUCAGACUUACUUUUCUAACUAACCUAAUAAAAUGUAUUGUCAGUGUGUGGUUAUUUAUAAUUAUAUACAAAUGUUGAUAAUAAAAUUUUGCCACAUAAAGUGAUCCAUAUUACUGUAGGUAACAUUUGCAGUAAACACAAUAUUUCUCUGUAUAAAUUAAGACCUAAAUUAAACAGUGAGAUAAUUAUUAUGGUGUAAAUGAGGAGUAGGUGCAACACAGGA